rnacentral:rRNA from 1 species
GACGAACGCUGGCGGCGUGCUUAACACAUGCAAGUCGAACGGAAAGGCCCUGCUUUUGUGGGGUGCUCGAGUGGCGAACGGGUGAGUAACACGUGAGUAACCUGCCCUUGACUUUGGGAUAACUUCAGGAAACUGGGGCUAAUACCGGAUAGGAGCUCCUGCUGCAUGGUGGGGGUUGGAAAGUUUCGGCGGUUGGGGAUGGACUCGCGGCUUAUCAGCUUGUUGGUGGGGUAGUGGCUUACCAAGGCUUUGACGGGUAGCCGGCCUGAGAGGGUGACCGGCCACAUUGGGACUGAGAUACGGCCCAGACUCCUACGGGAGGCAGCAGUGGGGAAUAUCGCACAAUAGGCGGAAGCCUGAUGCAGCAACGCCGCGUGCGGGAUGACGGCCUUCGGGUUGUAAACCGCUUUCGCCUGUGACGAAGCGUGAGUGACGGUAAUGGGUAAAGAGGCACCGGCUAACUACGG